rnacentral:rRNA from 1 species
GACGAACGCUGGCGGCGUGCCUAAUACAUGCAAGUAGAACGCUGAAGGAGGAGCUUGCUCUUCUGGAUGAGUUGCGAACGGGUGAGUAACGCGUAGGUAACCUGCCUGGUAGCGGGGGAUAACUAUUGGAAACGAUAGCUAAUACCGCAUAAGAGUAGAUGUUGCAUGACAUUUACUUAAAAGGUACAAUUGCAUCACUACCAGAUGGACCUGCGUUGUAUUAGCUAGUUGGUGGGGUAACGGCUUACCAAGGCGACGAUACAUAGCCGACCUGAGGGGGUGAUCGGCCACACUGGGACUGAGACACGGCCCAGACUCCUUCGGGAGGCAGCAGUAGGGAAUCUUCGGCAAUGGACGGAAGUCUGACCGAGCAACGCCGCGUGAGUGAAGAAGGGUUUCGGAUCGUAAAGCUCGGUUGUUAGAGAAGAACGAGUGUGAGAGUGGAAAGUUCACACUGUGACGGUAUCUUAUCAGAAAGGGACGGCUAACUACGUG